GUCAGUACGUUCAGAAAUGAGCGUAUAGAAGCGGGCACAACGAUAUGACCCGCGCAACAAAGAAACUGAAUUGCGGGAAACCCCUAAAGCGAGUGAAACGACAACGUAUCCUUGAAAAAUAGGCAAGCGUGAACGUUGCGAAAGCAGAAAAAAUUCACUCGAUGGCAUAUGGUUAAACCCUAAAUGUUAGUGCAAUGGGCAAUCCGCAGCCAAGCUCUGAAUAGGAGAAGGUUCAACGACUAUUCCUCUUGAGGGAAGUACACACAAGCGUGUGGAAGUGGUUUCGCCGUACUGGGUAAAGCCAACGGAUAAGAUAUAGUCUGUGCUUGCGUGAGAGCGUAAG
rfam:Enterococcus villorum ATCC 700913 genomic scaffold acvIF-supercont1.8, whole genome shotgun sequence.